AUAUCUCUCUGUACGGGAAGGAUGAGAAGCUUCUACCAGGGUUCGAUUCGAGCGCAGCGAGAAAGCGUUGCCGCAGGCAACGACC
rnacentral:sRNA from 2 species